rnacentral:rRNA from 1 species
CCUACGGGAGGCAGCAGUGAGGAAUAUUGGUCAAUGGACGGAAGUCUGAACCAGCCAUGCCGCGUGCAGGAAGACGGCUCUAUGAGUUGUAAACUGCUUUUGUACAAGGGUAAACCUGAAUACGUGUAUUCAGCUGAACGUACUUUACGAAUAAGGAUCGGCUAACUCCGUGCCAGCAGCCGCGGUAAUCCGGAGGAUCCAAGCGUUAUCCGGAUUUAUUGGGGUUAAAGGGUGCGUAGGCGGAUUGAUAAGUUAGAGGUGAAAGGUUCGAGCUUAACUCGGGAACUGCCUCUAAUACUGUUGAUCUAGAGAGUAGAUGCGGUAGGCGGAAUGUAUGGUGUAGCGGUGAAAUGCUUAGAGAUCAUACAGAACACCGAUGGCGAAGGCAGCUUACCAAGCUAUAUCUGACGUUGAGGCACGAAAGCGUGGGGAGCAAACAGGAUUAGAUACCCCUGUAGUC